rnacentral:lncRNA from 7 species
CUAUGAACGAGGUCUUACCACCUAUCGGCACGUCGGUGUCGCUGGCCACGACGAGACGCGGCUCCGCCGCGGACGCGAAACUCCAACGAGGAAUUUCACCGACCACCACUGCUCCUCCCGCCUAAAUCCUCCACAGUCACGACACACGUAGCCAGGAGAGUCGCCCAGACCACACGCAGACCCCGGAAUGGCGGUGUAGGCGCGCGGCAACGGCGGUGGCUCCCGGUGGUUUCGGCGGCGAUAUUUUUGGUGGCCAAGGUAAGCAGAGAAGGAAGGAAAGGAGGGAGGAGGGGGUCGUCC